AAUAUAUCCUUGUAGCUUAUUUAAUUUAUACAUAGAAGUUUGUACCUCUUAAUCCACUACCCCUAUCAUGCCUCUCCCCCUUUUCUUCACCCCACUGGUAACCACUAGUUUGUUCUCUGUAUCUGUGAGUCUGUUUUGUUAUACUCAUUUGUUUGUUUUAUUUUUUAGAUUUGAAAUAUAAGUGAGAACAUACAGUAUUUGUCUUUCUCUGUCUGACUUAUUUCAGCAAACAUAAUACCAUUUGCAACCACAUGGAUGGACCUGGAAGGUAUUAUGCCAGAUAUGUUUUUUAAUAGCUCCAACUAUAAAUGAACAAAAUUCUAAUCAAUAGUAAAAUAGAAAAACAGAUGGACACAUUCAAUGUGUGAUAUACAGCAACAAGAGGGAAAAAAAAAACAAACUAUUGCUACUCACAACGUGGAUGGAUCUCCUAACCAUCAUGUUAAAAAAACUUAAACAUAAAAAGAAUACAUGGUGAUUGGCUCCAUUUAUAUAGGUUCAAAAACAGACAAAAGUAAUCUAUGGUGUUAGAAGUAGUGAUUGUCAGGGGACAAUCUGGCAGCUUUAGUGGUUCUAUAUUUUAUUUCUGGAUCUGAAUCUAGGUGUUAAUUACACUGGUUUGUUCAGUGGAAUAUUGAGCAGUGCCUAUAUAUAUUAUAUAUUUAUACAUAAAUGUAUAACAUAUGUAGUAUAAAUAUUUAUAUAUAUUAUAUAAAAGUUCACUUAAGUGUAGAUGAAUCUUCCUGUUCAUUAGCUGUUUCUUCAUCCUUGCCUUUCGGAAGUGAUUCUGCGCUUUCUUAGCCGGAAAGCGGAGUCACAAGGCGUCAAAUCCUCCUGCAUAGAUUUAGCGGCCAAGGUCGCCCACGUUGAACGGCGCACAGCAGGCAGCCUCUCGACCCUCUGCUGCUCUCCCGGCCGCCUGCCUCCUGCGGUGUGUGCGGUCAGGAGGGGUCUCCUCGCGCCCCCAACUGCCCUGUAGUCAAGCGUACGGCCGUUAUUCAGGCUGCCAUCCAGGACGUCCAGCCAUGUGGUGCCUUCUGUUUCUGCUUCUGGGGCUCAUCGGGCUUCAGACAGACGAUAAUUCAGAAAGACUACGUGUGCAAAUUACAGUUCCAGAGAAAAUACGGUCAACGUCAAGUGGAGGAGUUGAAACAUACGUAAUUAAGCCCUAACAUUUUUCACAAACUAAAAAGCAUGUGAAUAUUUUGUUCCUAAUAAGUAAACCUGGUGUUUUUCAUUUCUGCACACUUUCUGAAUUUUAUAUUUAUACCCAA
rnacentral:lncRNA from 1 species